UGGCAAAGUCGUCGCAAA
rnacentral:snRNA from 1 species